CAGGCAGCUUCUGCUAGUGUUUAGGUACUAGUGCAGUGUAGAACCCUUUUCUCAGGCAAAACCUAACAUCUGACCGCACCCUUUUUGCUAUUAAAAAAAAAAAAAAGCUUCUAUUUUUUUCCUCCUGUCGUUAAGAUAAAUUCUCCAGUAGACAACCUCUCCCACUAAUUGUGUAUUAGCAACGUAUUUUAUCUUGAGAGCUUGUACACUGGGCUCUCAACGUGGUGUGGAAGGUAGCCUGUUACAGUGCUGGAUUCAUAAAAGGGCCUUUAUGGUUUGUGAAAGAAUAUCUGUGUGCUUAGGGAGGAAACUUUUUGAUCUGCAGAAAAGCCAGAAGACAUCUAGGACAUCCAUAAAAAUUCAUCAGAGAGCAUUUUACUACUGAGCUGCAAAGGGAAAAACUUAAAAUGGAUAUGAAAAGUGAAGAAAGUGAUCAUAGGAGAAAACCAUUUCAGGUGUCUGAUGAUUUGUGAGCCUCAAGUGACUACUCUGUGGAAUCAUCUGUCCUUGCCUUUGAAUUAGCUUUCCCUAGGCCAUGAGUCAACAUUAGUAGUUUAUACAUCCAAAUUGUGUUGACUUCAUUCUCAGAUGACAAGAGCACCUCAAAGGCAGCAGCCUCAAGGAGCAGCCAUGGCCCCAGACUUGUCGCACGGAUGCAGAAAACUUAAUGGAGGAGGCUGAGGUCAGAAUGGGAAGAGUUUUUAAAAAAUAAAAAGGGGAGCUAAUAUGUGAGGAA
rnacentral:lncRNA from 1 species